rnacentral:rRNA from 1 species
AGUGAACGCUGGCGGCAGGCCUAACACAUGCAAGUCGAGCGGCAGCACAGCAGUAGCAAUACUGUGGGUGGCGAGCGGCGGACGGGUGAGGAAUACAUCGGAAUCUACCUUCUUGUGGGGGAUAACGUAGGGAAACUUACGCUAAUACCGCAUAAGACCUGAGGGUGAAAGCGGGGGACCGCAAGGCCUCGCGCGAGAAGAUGAGCCGAUGUCGGAUUAGCUAGUUGGUGAGGUAAAGGCUCACCAAGGCGACGAUCCGUAGCUGGUCUGAGAGGAUGAUCAGCCACACUGGAACUGAGACACGGUCCAGACUCCUACGGGAGGCAGCAGUGGGGAAUAUUGGACAAUGGGCGCAAGCCUGAUCCAGCCAUGCCGCGUGUGUGAAGAAGGCCUCGGUGUAAGACUUUUGGUAGAAGAUGGUAUACGGUCAUAGUACAACGAUAGACGCACUCUGC